rnacentral:rRNA from 1 species
AGAGUUUGAUCCUGGCUCAGGAUGAACGCUGGCGGCGUGCUUAACACAUGCAAGUCGAACGAACCUUCGGGUUAGUGGCGGACGGGUGAGUAACGCGUGAGAAUCUGCCCUCAGGAGGGGGAUAACGGUUGGAAACGACCGCUAAUACCCCAUAUGCCUACUGGUGAAAUGAAUUUCGCCUGAGGAUGAGCUCGCGUCUGAUUAGCUAGUUGGUGAGGUAAUGGCUCACCAAGGCUUCGAUCAGUAGCUGGUCUGAGAGGAUGAUCAGCCACACUGGGACUGAGACACGGCCCAGACUCCUACGGGAGGCAGCAGUGGGGAAUUUUCCGCAAUGGGCGAAAGCCUGACGGAGCAACGCCGCGUGAGGGACGAAGGCCUCUGGGCUGUAAACCUCUUUUCUCAAGGAAGAAGAUAUGACGGUACUUGAGGAAUAAGCCACGGCUAAUUCCGUGCCAGCAGCCGCGGUAAUACGGGAGUGGCAAGCGUUAUCCGGAAUUAUUGGGCGUAAAGCGUCCGCAGGCGGCUUUUCAAGUCUGCUGUUAAAGCGUGGAGCUUAACUCCAUCAUGGCAGUGGAAACUGAAAGGCUUGAGUAUGGUAGGGGCAGAGGGAAUUCCCGGUGUAGCGGUGAAAUGCGUAGAUAUCGGGAAGAACACCAGUGGCGAAGGCGCUCUGCUGGGCCAUUACUGACGCUCAUGGACGAAAGCCAGGGGAGCGAAAGGGAUUAGAUACCCCUGUAGUCCUGGCCGUAAACGAUGAACACUAGGUGUCGGGGGAAUCGACCCCUUCGGUGUCGUAGCUAACGCG